UAUACAGGGUCUAAAUACAGGGGCUAAACUUCCUGGCAUUGUCUCAUGGUAUUGAAAACAAAUACUGAGAAUCUGAAAGGAUGCAUCAGACUGCUACUGAGGGGAUGGAUUGCUGAUGUGAGAGAAACUGCUACAUAUGAAAGGGUGAUAUAUGGAAUGGAAAAUUUUCCCAGUGAAAGACAACAGCACUAGGUUUGAACCAGAGGAUUUACUAAUAUCAGCGUAACUUGGCUUGCUACUGAGGAAGGUUGUCCUGUCCAGAUGCUACUCUAGGAAUAUAUAAAUCAGUAACAUUCUGGGAUCUGAUUUGCAAAAUCACUCUCAAUGUAGACCUGACUCUGCCUCAGUGUACAUUGAAGCAGGUAAUUAUGAACGCCUCUGAUGAGGUGAUGAUAGCUCAUGAUGAUGUAUCAGCUCUUGUCAUAGCUUUCAGUUAACAGAAAAUACAAACUAAUAUAGAGUGUAUUAGUAAUCAAACAAAUGGAAGAUCACUUAUACAGCUUUAUUUUAUUGUGG
rnacentral:lncRNA from 1 species